AUCAACCGAGAUUCCGUAAGUAGUGGCGAGCGAACGCGGAAGAGGCCAAACCGAGAGAAGAAAUUCUUUCGGGGUUCGGACUGCAUUUAGUAUUCCUGAUCUUUAGUCGAACAGUCUGGGAAGGCUGACGAGAGAGUGUGAGAGUCACGUAGACGAAAAGGAGAAGGAGCGAGCAGGAUCCAGAGUACCGCGGGGCACGUGAAAUCCCGUGGGAAGAUGGGGGGACCACCCUCCAAGCCUAAAUACUACUCAAUGACCGAUAGCGUAUAGUACUGUGAAGGAACGGUGAAAAGAACCCCGGGAGGGGAGUGAAAAGAACCUGAAACUCUGUGCUUACAAGCACAUAGAGCACGUCAAUGUGUGAUAUGGUACCUUUUGUAGAAUGGUCCGGCGAGUUAUGGUAUGCAGCAUGGUUAAGGACUUGAGGUCUGAAGCCGAAGCGAGAGCGAGUCUGACAAGGGCGAUAAGUUGUAUGCCAUAGACCCGAAACCGGGUGACCUAGCCAUGUCCAGGCUGAAGUGGAGGUAAAACUCCAUGGAGGGCCGAACCGACCUCCGUUGAAAAGGCGGCGGAUGAGAUGUGGCUAGCGGAGAAAUUCCAAUCGAACCCGGAUAUAGCUGGUUCUCCCCGAAAUAGCUUUAGGGCUAGCGUUGUAUUAGAUUACCGGAGGUAAAGCACUGAAUGGGCUAGGGGCUGAGAAGUUACUGAACCCUAUCAAACUAAGAAUGCCGGAUAAUUGAUGUACAGCAGUCAGACUAUGUGAGAUAAGUCUCAUAGUCAAAAGGGAAACAGCCCAGACCCACAGCUAAGGUCCCAAAAUGGAUUUAAGUGGAAAAGGAUGUGGAAUUGCACAGACAACCAGGAUGUUGGCUUAGAAGCAGCCACUCAUUAAAAGAGUGCGUAAUAGCUCACUGGUCGAGUGACCCUGCGCCGAAAAUUCAACGGGGCUAAACAAUGUACCGAAGCUUGGGAUUCUAGAUUUAUCUAGAGUGGUAGGAGAGCGUCGAAUAAGGGGUGAAGUCAGAGCGGAAGCGCUGGUGGACUUUAUUCGAGUGAGAAUGCCGGAAUGAGUAGCGAGAAUUAUGUGAGAAUCAUAAUGGCCGAAAGUCUAAGGUUUCCUGAGGAAGGUUCGUCCUCUCAGGGUUAGCCGGGAGCUAAGGUGAGGCGGAAACGCGUAGCCGAUGCACAUACGGUAGAAAUUCCGUAGCCUCCGAAGAUUUAAGCACAGGGACACUUUUGAAGGGCUGAGCCGGGCGUUGGUUGCCCCGGUCGAAAGGGACACGAUUGAGUGGAAGUCAGUUUGGAAAGAGGCGAGAAAAGCUGUGUGUAUAUGGAAGGAGCCCGUACCGCAAACCGACACAGGUAGACAGGAAGAAGAUUCUAAGGCCAGCGGGAGAAGGGUUGUUAAGGAACUCGGCAAGUUGACCCCGUAACUUCGGGAGAAGGGGUGCUUACGAAGGUAAGCCGCAGAGAAUAGGCCCAAGCGACUGUUUAGCAAAAACACAGCUCUAUGCUAAAUCGAAAGAUGACGUAUAUGGGGUGACACCUGCCCGGUGCUGGAAGGUUAAGAGGAGAUGUGAGAGCAUUGAAUUGAAGCCCCAGUAAACGGCGGCCGUAACUAUAACGGUCCUAAGGUAGCGAAAUUCCUUGUCAGGUAAGUUCUGACCCGCACGAAUGGUGUAACGAUCUGGACACUGUCUCAACAGCCCGCCCCGCGGCGUCGAUCGUCACCUCAAGCAUCGCCGACCGGUCGAUACUCUGCCCGAAGAUAAAAUUACCAAGGCUGUAGAAUACCGGCUUCCCUUCAAUAUAGGAGACCCCCUGCAGACAGUGGGUGUGCGAUCCCACAACCACAUCCGCCCCGGCGUCGAUACACGCCUUCGCGAUCUGUGUCUGGUUCGCCUCCGGAUAUGCCUGGUACUCCACGCCCCAAUGCGGAUAGACCGCCACAUAGUCGCAGGUCUCCCUCGCUUCCUUAAUUACCUCCACAAGAGCCGUGGUGUCAUAGCAGCUAAACAGUCCCGGCACUGCAUUUUCCACCUUCCAGUCCGCCGUCGGGACAACCCGGGAUACCGCGAUAAAUCCGUAUUUUUUCCCGUGGACUUCGAUUACCUGCACCUGCUUUGCCCGCUCCGCGGAACCGGGAAUUAUGUCGAC
rnacentral:rRNA from 1 species